rnacentral:tRNA from 1 species
UGUCGGGUCGUCUAAUGGCAGGACAGCGGCCUUUGACGCCGUGAAUAGAGGUUCGAAUCCUCUCCCGACAG